rnacentral:rRNA from 1 species
GACGAACGCUGGCGGCGUGCUUAACACAUGCAAGUCGAACGGAAAGGCCCUGCUUUUGUGGGGUACUCGAGUGGCGAACGGGUGAGUAACACGUGAGUAACCUGCCCUUGACUUUGGGAUAACUUCGGGAAACUGGGGCUAAUACCGGAUAGGAGCUCCUGCUGCAUGGUGGGGGUUGGAAAGUUUCGGCGGUUGGGGAUGGACUCGCGGCUUAUCAGCUUGUUGGUGGGGUAGUGGCUUACCAAGGCUUUGACGGGUAGCCGGCCUGAGAGGGUGACCGGCCACAUUGGGACUGAGAUACGGCCCAGACUCCUACGGGAGGCAGCAGUGGGGAAUAUUGCACAAUGGGCGGAAGCCUGAUGCAGCAACGCCGCGUGCGGGAUGACGGCCUUCGGGUUGUAAACCGCUUUCGCCUGUGACGAAGCGUGAGUGACGGUAAUGGGUAAAGAAGCACCGGCUAACUACGUG